CGUUUGAUUUUGUACCUUCCUUUGGAGUUCACCCUGUAGGUCGGCGCCGCAAGUCUGUCUCUCUUUCUGAGCUUAUCCGAUCCUUCACAAACCGCCAUUCUUCUCUGCGUUGGAGUUGAUUUUGGACCGGUAUUCGGCUAAAAAUUUUUGUGCAUUCAGUGGCGAUCAUCGUGGUUCCUAUUCAUAUUGCCUUUUGUUUAUUCAUCGGUGAGUUUGAAGCGUUUUGGAAGCGCAAUAGCUGGUGCAGGUGAAUGUGAAUCAACGUCUGCAUGUUCAACUUCGUGCCUGGGACUUCAGUCUCCAGGCAUUCGACAAGCUCCAGCUGGAUUCAGAUUAGGAGUUGCGUCCGUCUAAUCCCCUACCUUUUAAUCUUAUGCGAAAUCCUCAAGUACACCCACCGCUGGCUUGUAUACCAGUGCUCAUUCAUACAGAAUACUUUCGUUAAUGGGGAUUCUAAGAAGGUUAUUCUGAAAUCUGAGAAAUGCCAGAGAAAAGGUUCUACUUUUCUCCUUUGAUACUUAAGAGAAAGAGAAAAUGAUAUACAACAAGUGUGUAUUUCUAAUUUCUGUCUGUUCUCGCCACUCGGGGGAUGUGGGGCUCCCCGUCAAUCGCGCAACGUUCUGUUACAGUUUUGUGCUGCUUGAAAAUGGAAGCUCAAGCUGUAGGCCCAUCUUCUUGUUAUGGAUCCUUCAAAGGAGAUUGUUGGUAUAUCAUAGAAUCUUGAUGAGCAUGGUGCUUGCUAUUAUGCCAAGGUGCUGCUUUCACAGGACUCAGCCCUAUCUUUCCCUCUGUUCAAGCUUUUCAUCACGGUGACUUCACCCGACUUUAAUGGAAGGAUGCCACCGCCGCUGCUGCUUAGUUUCUACUUUCUAAACUUCAUUUUGCUUCUGGGACCAACUUGGAUAUUCGCCCACCUCUGAUCUAGAAGCUCCAACCUACUGAAUGAGAACCUUUGGGAAUUACAUCUUAAUAUAUUUUCUGCCGUUGUCUUGGUGCUUA